CCUCCCCAUUCUCGGCUCUGGAGACGCAGUAACUCUUCAGACAGUGGGCGAUUUUCUCGAGUCUUUGAGUCUUCCAGUGCUUUGCUGCGUAGAGGAAAUACCAGACAGCUGCCUUUGCCCUCAUCUAUCGAACUGUGGCAUCCCUUCCCACUCUCCCUGCCCCCAAAGAGACUUCACUAGUAAAUAACUAAAUAAAUAGCAAGGGUAAUAAUCAGCCAGAUUCAGGCCUGUGAGCGGGGAUUUUUAGGGUUUGUUGCACACUCAGGAAAAGAGCAGUUUUGCAGGACUUAGUGAUGUCAAGUGGAGUGGCACCCCUUCAGCAGUGUAUGAGUUCCCACACUGGACUUGGUGAAAAAUCAUUUUAUUAUUUAUUUUAAAAGGGAACCCAUAGUCCCUCAAGCAAGAAAAAGGAAAACCAAAUCCAUAAGGAUUUGGAAAUUUUGGUGCUUCUAGAAAGAUCCUCUAUAGUUUCCUUGACUUGGAGCAAAGGAUUUGAUGGCUUGACUAAAACCAGAAAGAAGAGAGUCUGAAGGCCUCUCCUACAUGAAAACCUGCAGAGCAGCAUAAUGAGUAAAGAAAUCUCUGCAAAACUCUAUUAGAGGGUUCUUCUCAGUGACUCCAAAUGGGGAGAGGAGGAGGUUGCAAUCUGCGUGGAGCUGUACUGCCCAAGGAGUCUGUCUGAUGGAUAGAGAUCACAUGGGCCAUGUGAAGCAUGGCCUGUUGCCUUUCCACACUCCCUGUAACAGCCAAGGCAGAACAAGGAAGGGAAAAGGCGAGUUGUGGAACUGGGGCUCCAGUGGAACUGAAAUUCAAUUACAUGUCUCCUGUAGACUGAACCUCAUUGUAAAAAUUGGCCUGACAAUUUUACCUUUAAUCGUACCUCUGUGAACUCUCUUUGAUGUUAAAGACAGGUUACCCUCAUCCGCCUUUCUUGUCAUAUUGUGAGCAAGCCUCAGUAAAUUGGGUAGCAAGACACAGACCUUUCAGGGAACCCAGACAUGAAGUGAACAGCUUUCUCCAGCCCUUGAAAGUACAUUGGAUUGAUCUGUUUGCUGUACAGUCCCCAAGCCCCAGGCUAUGGAUAAAAUUUCUUAGAAGAGAGGCAAAGUAAAUCAAUUCUGCUCUGUUGCUGGGGUAAAGUUGGUCAAUAGAUGAUAUUUUAAAGCACCUCCAUCAACAAUUUAUGAGAUUUAUUCAGUUUAUGCGAAAGAGCACUCCAUAAUCAUCACUACACAGCAAUGGCCCAACAGGGUGUUGCUAACUGGAUAUCAUUUAAUAAAAGUUUUUCAAGUGCUCAGCAUGCUUUCAUCAGAGGGUGAUUUUUGUUUUUAUCCUUGUUUUGUAUGAACAUUAGGAGGUAAUCAAGAAGUUAUAAAAGUUGAUGAUUUAUGAAGCUUUUGAAGUGGUGGGUGAAAUUGUAGGCUAGAUAUAAUGCUUAUAUUGAUCACACUGUUGGUAAAAGCAUGAUAAGACUGUUGACUAAAAGUACUAUUAUAAUAAAUUUCAUGAUAGUCUGUUAAAUAGAGAUCUAGUAUUAUUUAAAUAACUUGAUUUUGGUUAAUAGUGGUCAUGGUCAACACUGGGCUGUAUUGUGUUGAUACUCACAUAAACCUCACAAUUGUUACCAUACUGUCACUGUGUUUUAAGAAUUGGAAAAGUAGUUACAUAGUUACCAAAUCUCUCCUACACCAGCCCUUUAAUUUCUUAUGUUCUCAGCAGUAUUCAUCUCUUGCACUAAUAACUUUUUGAAAUUUUUGUUCCAUGCCCAUGACUUCAUCCCUGCUCUUUCAGUAACUUCAGUCUGCUCUUUCAGUAACUUCUU